rnacentral:lncRNA from 1 species
UGUUGGAUCCCUUUGGAUAGCCAGACUGUGCUAGUUGGCUUCCGGACCAUAAAAUGCUCCCUGGUACGAUUUAGACCAUUAGAAGAGGUGAGGCUGAAACACUUUGGGCUGUGUUCAGAUAUUUAGGGGAGAUCCAACUGGGAACAGCUGAGGUAAAUUGUAAGAGGAAGAAGGAAUGCACGAGAUCUUCAGUGCAGGGAUUGUCUGACCAGGCCUGUUCUACUGGCUUGUCCUAUAGAUCCAAAGCAGGAAUGAUCCCGGUGCUGACUCCUCCAUCGCUCUGGAAGGAGUGUUACAGAGAACACAGAACAGUUUGUGAAGAUGAAACCAGGACUGCUGUCUUUUGUUUUGACGCUUUGCUGUGUUCUGGGAUCACAGGUGUUACUACAAGAUUCCAGUUUUUCACUGGGGAGAAUCCAAGUGUUUCAAGUGAGUUCAAGCAGAAUUUCGCUGCGUUGAACUGGCCUGAUUUGGGAUGCAAACCGACCUCUGAAACACCGAAAUUUCCCGUGGGAGCAGAAAUUCGGAAUUCUGCUCAGCUCCAGUUACUCUGUGCAUGGAAAUGGCCUCAAGCAAACAAACAGCGCAGACAGGAGAUGCGCCUGGUAAGUAGGUUAAGCUGGAAGGGGUUCCCUGGUGGCUGCUCCUCUUCCUCUCUUCUGCCCAGGGAAACCUGGGAAUGGAACAGCACUGCAGAGUGGGCAGCAAUGAGCUCCCCUGCAAGGCAAAGGGAAGCAUACAUAUCUUUAAGCUCAGAAGUACAGCGGUCAUGUACACUCCAGGGCAGGUUGAUCUGGUCUGAAUGUGCUCCACUGACCUCAAAAGAGCAUCCCACCAAGAGGGUCACUGCAUCCUCUUUGUGA